rnacentral:rRNA from 1 species
AAUAGAUACCCUGGUAGUCCACGCCGUAAACGAUGAGUGCUAAGUGUUAGAGGGUUUCCGCCCUUUAGUGCUGCAGCUAACGCAUUAAGCACUCCGCCUGGGGAGUACGGCCGCAAGGCUGAAACUCAAAGGGAUUGACGGGGGCCCGCACAAGCGGUGGAGCAUGUGGUUUAAUUCGAAGCAACGCGAAGAACCUUACCAGGUCUUGACAUCCUCUGACAACCCUAGAGAUAGGGCUUUCCCCUUCGGGGGACAGAGUGACAGGUGGUGCAUGGUUGUCGUCAGCUCGUGUCGUGAGAUGUUGGGUUAAGUCCCGCAACGAGCGCAACCCUUGAUCUUAGUUGCCAGCAUUCAGUUGGGCACUCUAAGGUGACUGCCGGUGACAAACCGGAGGAAGGUGGGGAUGACGUCAAAUCAUCAUGCCCCUUAUGACCUGGGCUACACACGUGCUACAAUGGAUGGUACAAAGGGCUGCAAACCUGCGAAGGUAAGCGAAUCCCAUAAAGCCAUUCUCAGUUCGGAUUGC